UGGCACUGGUUUGGACCUAAAGACCCAGAGCCUUCAAAAAUUAUUCUUGGGUUGUUAAUCUCCUAUAGCAAGUCUU
rnacentral:snRNA from 1 species